GAUGAACGCUAGCGACAGGCUUAACACAUGCAAGUCGAGGGGCAGCAUAAAAGUAGCAAUACUUUGGUGGCGACCGGCGCACGGGUGAGUAACGCGUAUGCAACCUACCUAUCAGAGGGGAAUAACCCGGCGAAAGUCGGACUAAUACCGCAUAAAACAGGGGCACCGCAUGGUGAUAUUUGUUAAAGAAAUUCGCUGAUAGAUGGGCAUGCGUUCCAUUAGGUAGUUGGUGAGGUAACGGCUCACCAAGCCGACGAUGGAUAGGGGAACUGAGAGGUUGGUCCCCCACACUGGUACUGAGACACGGACCAGACUCCUACGGGAGGCAGCAGUGAGGAAUAUUGGUCAAUGGGCGGGAGCUUGAACCAGCCAAGUCGCGUGAAGGAAGAAGGAUCUAUGGUUCGUAAACUUCUUUUGCAGGGGAAUAAAGUGCAGGACGUGUCCUGUUUUGUAUGUACCCUGAGAAUAAGGAUCGGCUAACUCCGUGCCAGCCGCCGCGGUAACAC
rnacentral:rRNA from 1 species